rnacentral:tRNA from 1 species
AUUUACUUAGUAUAAUCGUACAUUUGACUUCCAAUCAAAAAGAUUGACACUGCUCAAAGUAAAUA